UCAACUUGUGAUCGAUCGCCUAGCAUAUUAGCUCAAGCCCAUAGCUCUAAAACAUCUCUAAUCUGUAUCCCCCACAGAAUCCAUAAUCUCACCUAAAUGAAAUCUCAAACCCAAUUCGGCAAUUCCAAUUGCCUUCUCCAUCUCCAAUCUCUUUUUUAAUGCAAUAUUCCCAAUUGACAAUGUUAAACCCUAAAUUUCCUUCCGAAUCCCCAUCCCUACGCUGACGCCCUCUACGAAGUUCUGCUCAAAGGUGCUGAAAAUGUCACUUCUGUUCUUGAAGAAAUGGUCAAGCUCCUUCCCCGAUUCCCGUCCUGAUUCAUGUUCCGUUCCGUUCAGCGAAGAAGAUGCUCCAAUUGCUGGCUACUCUGGUAGAAGAGAAGCUACAAUCUACUUCCCUUAGUAAGUUAGCGCCUUUAUCUCGCUACUUGAAUGUGUAUAUUUGUAUAAUAGUAUGUAAAAGAAGAAAUAGAAUCUCCAAAUUAAAACAUUGGGUUGAGGUGAUUGCGUUUUGCUUUAUGAAUUGGGAUUUUCUGAAUACUUCAUCUUUUAAUCUGAUUGAUGGUUAUUCAUUGCUA